CCCCCGCGUAGUCGGCCGCAAAGACAUCCUGCUUGUGGAGCGGGAUCGGGUAGUAGACCGCCGAGGCGAUCUCCGCGUCGGUGAGGGCC
rnacentral:tRNA from 1 species